GGCUUAAAAAAUCUUGCUGUUCGUAUAUCCUCAGAAAUACGGUUUGAGGGUCUCUACAGGGAACCGUAAAUUCCCGGCUACGGAUGGGCGCCCUCUUUGG
rnacentral:ncRNA from 1 species